CGCCUGUUUAACAAAAACAUGUCCUUUUGAAUUUAAUUUAAGGUCUGACCUGCCCAGUGAUGAAUUUAACGGCCGCGGUAUACUGACCGUGCAAAGGUAGCAUAAUCAUUAGUCUUUUAAUAGAGGGCUGGAAUGAACGGUUUCACGAGGAACUGACUGUCUCAUUUUAUUUGUUUUAAGAUUUAAUUUUUUAGUUAAAAAGCUAAAAUUUCGUUGGAAGACGAGAAGACCCUAUAGAUCUUUAUAUGAAUUUUUGUAUUUAUUUAUUUAUUAACAUAAUUACAAUAAAAUCGUAUUUUGUUGGGGUGACAAAAAUAUAUAAUCAACUUUUUCAUUUAUUUACCAUUGAUAUAUGAAUAUUAGAUCCAUUAUUAGUGAUUGAUAGACUAAGUUACCUUAGGGAUAACAGCG
rnacentral:rRNA from 1 species